UUCCCCUAGUAACUGCGAGUGAAGCGGGAAAAGCUCAAAUUUAAAAUCUGGUAGUCUUUGGCUGCCCGAGUUGUAAUCUAGAGAAGCAUUAUCUGCUCUGGACUGUGUAUAAGUAUCCUGGAAUGGAUCAUCAUAGAGGGUGAGAAUCCCGUCUUUGACACAGACUCCCAGUGCUUUGUGAUGUGCUCUCAAAGAGUCGAGUUGUUUGGGAAUGCAGCUCUAAAUGGGUGGUAAAUUCCAUCUAAAGCUAAAUAUUGGCGAGAGACCGAUAGCGAACAAGUACCGUGAGGGAAAGAUGAAAAGAACUUUGGAAAGAGAGUUAAACAGUACGUGAAAUUGCUGAAAGGGAAACGCUUGAAGUCAGUCGCGUUGGCUGGGGAUCAACCUUGCUUUUUGCUUGGCUUACUUCCCAGUUGACGGGUCAGCAUCAGUUUUGACCGGUGGAUAAAGGCUAGGGGAAUGUGGCACCUCCGGGUGUGUUAUAGCCCUUGGUCAUAUACAUCGGUUGG
rnacentral:rRNA from 1 species